AGUGUGAUUGCUGGGUCAUAUGGUAAGCCUGUGAUUGGCUUUGUAAGAAACUACCAGACUGUCUUCCAAAAUGACUGUACCAUUUUGCAUUCCUACCAGCAAU
rnacentral:pre_miRNA from 1 species